UAGGUAACCUAAAGGUUAGAGAGGGAGAUAGGUAACCUAGAGGUUAGAGAGGUAACCUAGAGGUUAGAGUGGGAGAUUGGUAACCUAGAGGUUAGAGUGGGAGAUAGGUAACCUAGAGGUUAGAGUGGGAGAUAGGUAACCUAGAGGUUAGAGUGGGAGAUAGGUAACCUAGAGGUUAGAGAGGGAAAUAUGUAACCUAGAGGUUAGAGAGGGAAAUAGGUAACCUAGAGGUUAGAGAGGGAAAUAUAUAACCUAGAGGUUAGAGUGGGAAAUAUAUAACCUAGAGGUUAGAGAGGGAAAUAUGUAACCUAGAGGCUAGAGAGGGAAAUAGGUAACCUAGAGGUUAGAGAGGGAAAUAGGUAACCUAGAGGUUAGAGAGGUAACCUAGAGGUUAUAGAGGGAAAUAUGUAACCUAGAGGUUAGAGAGGUAACCUAGAGGUUAUAGAGGGAAAUAUAUAACCUAGAGAUUAGAGAGGUAACCUAGAGGUUAGAGUGGGAGAUAGGUAACCUAGAGGUUAGAGAGGUAACCUAGAGGUUAGAGUGGGAGAUAGGUAACCUAGAGGUUAGAGAGGUAACCUAGAGGUUAGAGAGGGAGAUAUAUAACCUAGAGGUUAGAGAGGGAGAUAGGUAGUAACCUAGAGGUUAGAGUGGUAACCUAGAGGUUAGAGAGGUAAACUAGAGGUUAGAGUGGGAGAUAGGUAACCUAGAGGUUAGAGAGGUAACCUAGAGGUUAGAGUAGGAGAUAGGUAACCUAGAGGUUAGAGAGGUAACCUAGAGGUUAGAGUAGGAGAGAGGUAACCUAGAGGUUAGAGUAGGAGAUAGGUAACCUAGAGGUUAAGAGAGGGAAAUAGGUAACCUAGAGGUUAGAGAGGUAACCUAGAGGUUAGAGUGGGAGAUAGGUAACCUAGAGGUUAGAGAGGGAGAUAGGUAACCUAGAGGUUAGAGAGGGAGAUAGGUAACCUAAAGGUUAGAGAGGGAGAUAGGUAACCUAGAGGUUAGAGAGGUAACCUAGAGGUUAGAGUGGGAGAUUGGUAACCUAGAGGUUAGAGUGGGAGAUAGGUAACCUAGAGGUUAGAGUGGGAGAUAGGUAACCUAGAGGUUAGAGAGGGAAAUAUGUAACCUAGAGGUUAGAGAGGGAAAUAGGUAACCUAGAGGUUAGAGAGGGAGAUAUAUAACCUAGAGGUUAGAGUGGGAAAUAUAUAACCUAGAGGUUAGAGAGGGAAAUAUGUAACCUAGAGGUUAGAGAGGGAAAUAUGUAACCUAGAGGCUAGAGAGGUAACCUAGAGGUUAGAGAGGGAAAUAUAUAACCUAGAGGUUAGAGAGGGAAAUAUGUAACCUAGAGGCUAGAGAGGGAAAUAGGUAACCUAGAGGUUAGAGAGGGAAAUAGGUAACCUAGAGGUUAGAGAGGUAACCUAGAGGUUAUAGAGGGAAAUAUAUAACCUAGAGAUUAGAGAGGUAACCUAGAGGUUAGAGAGGGAGAUAUAUAACCUAGAGGUUAGAGAGGUAACCUAGAGGUUAGAGAGGUAACCUAGAGGUUAGAGAGGGAGAUAUAUAACCUAGAGGUUAGAGAGGGAGAUAGGUAACCUAGAGGUUAGAGUGGUAACCUAGAGGUUAGAGAGGUAAACUAGAGGUUAGAGUGGGAGAUAGGUAACCUAGAGGUUAGAGGGGGAGAUAGGUAACCUAGAGGUUAGAGAGGUAACCUAGAAGUUAGAGUAGGAGAUAGGUAACCUAGAGGUUAGAGAGGGAGAUAGGUAACCUAGAGGUUAGAGAGGGAGAUAGGUAACCUAGAGGUUAGAGUGGUAACCUAGAGGUUAGAGAGGGAGAUAUAUAACCUAGAGGUUAGAGAGGGAGAUAGGUAACCUAGAGGUUAGAGUGGUAACCUAGAGGUUAGAGAGGUAAACUAGAGGUUAGAGUGGGAGAUAGGUAACCUAGAGGUUAGAGAGGGAGAUAGGUAACCUAGAGGUUAGAGAGGUAACCUAGAGGUUAGAGUAGGAGAUAGGUAACCUAGAGGUUAGAGAGGGAGAUAGGUAACCUAGAGGUUAGAGAAGGAGAUAGGUAACCUAAAGGUUAGAGAGGGAGAUAGGUAACCUAGAGGUUAGAGAGGUAACCUAGAGGUUAGAGUGGGAGAUAGGUAACCUAGAGGUUAGAGUGGGAGAUAGGUAACCUAGAGGUUAGAGAGGGAAAUAGGUAACCUAGAGGUUAGAGAGGGAAAUAUGUAACCUAGAGGCUAGAGAGGGAAAUAGGUAACCUAGAGGUUAGAGAGGUAACCUAGAGGUUAUAGAGGGAGAUAUAUAACCUAGAGGUUAGAGAGGGAAAUAUAUAACCUAGAGGCUAGAGAGGGAAAUAGGUAACCUAGAGGCUAGAGAGGUAACCUAGAGGUUAUAGAGGGAGAUAUAUAACCUAGAGGUUAGAGAGGGAAAUAUAUAACCUAGAGAUUAGAGAGGUAACCUAGAGGUUAUAGAGGGAGAUAUAUAACCUAGAGGUUAGAGGGAAAUAUAUAACCUAGAGGCUAGAGAGGGAAAUAGGUAACCUAGAGGUUAGAGCGGUAACCUAGAGGUUAGAGUAGGAGAUAGGUAACCUAGAGGUUAGAGAGGGAGAUAGGUAACCUAGAGGUUAGAGAGGUAACCUAGGGGUUAGAGAGGGAGAUAGGUAACCUAGAGGUUAGAGAGGGAGAUAGGUAACCUAGAGGUUAGAGAGGGAGAUAGGUAACCUAGAGGUUAGAGAGGUAACCUAGAGGUUAGAGUGGGAGAUAGGUAACCUAGAGUUUAGAGAGGGAGAUAGGUAACCUAGAGGUUAGAGAGGGAGAUAGGUAACCUAGAGGUUAGAGAGGUAACCUAGAGAUUAGAGUUUGAGAUAGGUAACCUAGAGGUUAGAGAGGGAGAUAGGUAACCUAGGGGUUAGAGAGGUAACCUAGAGGUUAGAGUGGGAGAUAGGUAACCUAGAGGUUAGAGAGGGAAAUAUGUAACCUAGAGUUUAGAGAGGGAAAUAGGUAACCUAGAGGUUAGAGAGGGAGAUAUAUAACCUAGAGGUUAGAGUGGGAAAUAUAUAACCUAGAGGUUAGAGAGGGAAAUAUGUAACCUAGAGGUUAGAGAGGGAAAUAUGUAACCUAGAGGUUAGAGAGGUAACCUAGAGGUUAGAGUGGGAGAUAGGUAACCUAGAGGUUAGAGAGGUAACCUAGAGGUUAGAGUGGGAGAUAGGUAACCUAGAGGUUAGAGAGGUAACCUAGAGGUUAGAGAGGGAGAUAUAUAACCUAGAGGUUAGAGAGGGAGAUAGGUAGUAACCUAGAGGUUAGAGUGGUAACCUAGAGGUUAGAGAGGUAAACUAGAGGUUAGAGUGGGAGAUAGGUAACCUAGAGGUUAGAGAGGUAACCUAGAGGUUAGAGUAGGAGAUAGGUAACCUAGAGGUUAGAGAGGUAACCUAGAGGUUAGAGUAGGAGAUAGGUAACCUAGAGGUUAAGAGAG